GCCUGGCAGCCGACUCUGUGCUCUGUGCCAGGUGGGGAGCACCCCUGGGCCCAGAGGAUCUGUCACUUUGCCCCUGGGCUGGCCUGGGCAGUGGGACUGCGGCCUUCUGCCCCGGGCACCCUCCACUGUCUGAGAGGGAGGGUCUAGGCUGGGAGACGAGGCUCCUCGGGGGCUGCCCCCCCACCGGCUCUGCACCCCCAUGGUCCGCGGCCAUCAGCCCACGGGGAUGGAGGACGGGGCCCCGGGACACGUGUUCCCGUGAGCCCCCGGGGAGGCCAGUGUGUCCAGUGCCCACCCUGGCUCCCUCUGGCUCUACCAAGUGCAGCUGAGAGGGACGGCCUUGACCCCAGCUCAGCCCUCCGUCUGCCCUCAGGCGCCCUGACCAAACAGGAUAGCUCCAAACUGGCAGAGGAAAGUAAAAGGGAAGCCAGCCCCUCCCUUGGCAGAAGGGCCGGCCCUGGAGCCUCUUUGUACUCCGGCUUUCCUCCGUGUUGUGGAUGUGCACGCACACGCUCACCAAGCCCAGCACCAGGCUCCCAGCGGACAGGGCCCUCCCGCAGCCCGGCCGAAGGACGCUCAGGCGCGUGAGUGUGUGUGCAUCAUCGACACUAAUCUUCUUAGGAGCUGAUCACAAGCGCGGAGCCCACCGAGCCUGGCCUGGGGUCUCUGAACAGCACUGUCUUGCAGCCGGCUCCCCCAUGGAACCCUCUGGCGUGACCCCCUGUGCUCGCAGCCCCCCACCCCACCCCUGGGCACUCAGGUGGGUGGCAACCUUCUGACUUUCCGGCUCCCUUUGCAGCGAUUGCUCCUGGAGAACAUGUUCAGCCCCAACAUCCGCCCCAGGAGGUCAUGCCCCCCGUGACACCCCCCGCCGCGGCCAUGGGGACUCAGGACUGCUCACCCCAAUCUGGAAGAUCCUGCCAAGGCUCUUGCCUGUACUUUGUAACAGAAAAGCAGCGGGCUGGAGUCGCGCUUCUUAUCCAGACGCAAAACCACACGGUAAUGGUGGGUCCGGGAGCACCGGUUCCCUAGGGCGGCGGCGGGCAGGGAAGGGGCGUGUGGGGUGUCCCUCGGGUGGGGCUUGUCAACUCAGCCCAGACUGCCAAGACCAUGACGGUCCCACUAAGAGACAGACGGGCCAGGCAUUGGGAAGAGCACUUGUGAAAAAGGAUCGGUGUGCAGAACACCCACAGAGGCCCCCGCGUCCCCAUCUCCAUAGGGCAGGCAUGACCGCCCGCGAGGAGGAGGGAAACAGAGGGACCGCUCUUGCACGACGUGGACGCGUGACCAGGAAGCACAAGAAGGCCUGUCCAGGAGGCUCUACCCCAUGUCCAUCACUUGGGCAAAACACAAAAGUUCUGUGCGUGGGGUCCCGGGGAGGACUCGGAAUGCAGGUGCUCCCAGCUAUACGGUGGCGUGUUCGGGGUGUGCGCCAAGCGGCUGCGUGGAGGGCACAUGGAGGGCACCAGGGCUCCUAAUAAAGCCCAGGGCAGGCCCCUCGUGCCUGAGAUUCACUCCGAUCCUGUGGGCUCCCCAGCGUGCAUGGGCACUAGGAGGGCCGGGCCCCGGGGGACCCUGGGUUUCCACAGAUAUGCAUGUGUGUGUGUGUGUGCACACACUUGUGUGCACGUGCCCAAAGAGCAACCUGUAGCUUCUGUAAUUAAAAUGAAAAACAAUGAUACAGAUACAGUAGAAAUAAAACCCUCCUAAAAAAAAAAAAAAAAAAAAAC
rnacentral:lncRNA from 12 species